GCUGGGUGUGGUGGCGUGCGCCUGUAAUCUCAGCUACUCAGGAGGCUGAGGCAGGAGAAUCGCUUGAACCCAGGAGAUGGAGGUUGCAGUGAGCUGAGAUCACGCCAUUGCACUCCAGCCUGGGCGACAGAGCGAGACUCUGUCUCAA
rfam:Gorilla gorilla gorilla genomic chromosome, chr6, whole genome shotgun sequence